rnacentral:rRNA from 1 species
UACAGAGGUGCUCAAGCGUUGUUCGGGAUUCAUUGGGCGUAAAGGGUGCGUAGGCGGCGCGGUAAGUCGGGUGUGAAAUUUCGAGGCUUAACUUCGAAACUGCAUUCGAUACUGCCGUGCUAGAGGACUGGAGAGGAGACUGGAAUUUACGGUGUAGCGGUGAAAUGCGUAGAUAUCGUGAGGAAUACUAGAGGCGAAGGCGGCUACCUGGACAAUUGCUGACGGCUCAGG